rnacentral:pre_miRNA from 1 species
ACCAUAUUCGGACCGUCGGUCUACCGAGCAAUAUCACCCGCUCGGUGGAAGAUAUUCAUGUCUAUUGA